rnacentral:rRNA from 1 species
GUUUUUUGAAAUAUAAUAAAAAAUUUCACCUGCUCCAUGAAUUAAUUUAAAUAGCUGCAGUAUUUUGACUGUACAAAGGUAGCAUAAUCAAUUGUUUUUUAAUUAAAAGCUAGAAUGAAUGGUUAAAUGAAAUAAAAACUUUUUUAAAUUUAAAAUUAAAAUUUUCUUAUUAGUAAAAAAGCUAAUAUAAAAUUAAUAGACGAGAAGACCCUAUAGAGUUUUAUAUAAAUUUAUAAAAAUUAAUUUAAUUUAAUAUAUUUUUAUUAAUUUAUAUUUAAUUGGGGUGAUUAUUAAAAUUAAUAAACUUUAAUUAAUUAUAAACAAAAAUUAUUGAAAUUUUGAUCUUUAAUUUUUAAUUAAAAGAAUAAAUUACCUUAGGGAUAACAGUGUAAUUUUUUUUAAUAGUUCAUAUUGAAAAAAAAGUUUGC